UGUGAAGAGGAAAGAGACUUGUACUUUUUUUCAAGGUUAUUUUCCCAUGUUGUUUUACGAUGUUGCAAACAUAUUUGAUAUUUUGGUAACUCACUUUAAAGGCUGGCUCAGGUCAUUUGAGUAAUAUGGAGCCAUAACUGAUCAAAUUGUAUUUGUCUUAAUUGUAUAAUCUCUUAAAAAGACAUUACCGCAAAGGGAAAAUAACAUGUUUAAGUGCGAUACUGAGUGUAUAAAUGUGUUAUUAUGCUUUUCAUGUACAUUACAACUAUGGACAACACUGAGCUGCAUCGUGUCCGUGUCGUAUUUCAUAUUUCCUCUUUUACAGGGGCGUAACAUUUGGAGGCACCGCUGGGAUAGUGUGCAGCGUGGUUUUAGCGUCUUCAACAGAUGUCCCCCGCUGUCACACAUCCCUUUUAAACAACCCGGAACAUCAGAAGCAGGUGGCGAAUCAGCGAUAGUGGCAGUCUGAUUGUCUGGGGCAGCUUGGAUGUGAUCUGAGAUAUUUCUGCAUACCAGGAGAGCUACUAUUACUACCCGAAGAUUAAAAGAAGCAUCUGUGGAUGGUGGUUCGACCUGAUGGUGGUUGUCCCUGCAGUGAUCCUGCCGUACACCUGUUCUGCUACUUGCAAUUACUUGUAUAAUUUCUGUUAGAGAAAUUGAAUGUAUUGUACAUCUUUUACAUUGUUGAUUCUGUACACAUGACAUCCAUUGCAGUCUGUCCAUCCCGGGAGAGGGAUCCCUCCUCUGACGUUCUCCCUAAGGUUUCUUCCCUUUUUUCCCCAUUGAAGGGUUUUUUUCAUAUUUUGGGGAGUUUUUCCUGUGCCGAUGUGAGGGUUUCGGGACAGAGGAUGUUGCAUGUGUACAGACUGUAAAGCCCUCUGAGGCAAAUUUGCGAUUUUGGGCUAUACAAAAUAAAAUGAAUUGAAAUUGAAUUGAAAAGUUCGUGUUCCCCCUGAGGAUCCAUCAUGACAUGGGGGGAGAAUUCGAAAACCAGUUGUUUGCACAGCUGAAGAAGAAUUGUGGAGUGAUAGGCUCAAGAACAACACCGUACCACCCACAAGGCAACGGACAGGUGGAACGCCUGAACAGAACACUGCUGCAAAUGCAUAGAACGCUCACAGAAAGGCAGAAGUCAAAUUGGAGAGAGUCACUGCCCAAGCUCAUCUACGCAUACAACAGCACUCAAUGUGUCACAGGUUUCUCCCCCUUCUACCUCUUGUUUGGAAGAUCACUGAGGUUACCUGUGGACUUAUUAUUUGGCUUGACACAAGAGGCUGGAACCGCCGAUCAUCGGGAGUAUAUGAAAAGGUGGAAACAACAAAUGCAAGAGGCAUAUGAGAUUACAACGGCAAAUGCAAAACAAUGUGCUGAAAAGAGUAAGAGAAACUAUGACAGCAAAGUGAGGAGUUCUGUACUGCACGAGGGUGACCGCGUUCUCGUCAGAAACUUGACACCCAGGGGCGGAACAAGGAAGCUCCGAAAUCACUGGGAAGAUUGCGUUCACAAAGUUAUCCGUCAGGUGGGAAAAGACAUGCCCAUAUAUGAAGUAAUAUCAGAACAAGGCGAGAGGACGUAGGGUACUGCAUCGUAACCUGCUGUUGCCGUGUGACCAUUUGCCACUGGAAAUACAAUUGAAACCAGCUAAAGCAAAAAGACAAAUCACAGCAGGGACCCGCAAGGGAAGGGAGCAACAACACCAAGAUGCAGAGGAUAGUGAUUAAGAGAACUAUGGAUACUAUCCAUCCAGAGAUCAGCCUUUCCCUGUGAUACAGCCCGAAGAAGAUACAGACGGUCAGGAAGCUGAACAACUUUCACAGGAUGCUGAGCCUCAGCAACAGGACUACCAGUUGGAACAGGAUAGUAGAGAUACAGAGAGGGACACAUCAGGACAGCAGGAGAUUAUUGCUCACGAGGACACUGCUCUGGAGAAGAGACCGUCCGUAGUGCAGGCACCUGUUCAGAGUGGAACUCACUGUGGACAUGAACAGCGAUAUCAGUGUCCGGUCAGGGACAGACGGCCUCCAAGAUUCUUCACGUAUGACCAGUUGGGCACUCCUGGUUGUUACAGCACUGGACUCACAGGUGAAGCCAUGCAGUGGUACCCACCAGCACCUUAUAGAGCCAUGCAAGCGGCAGGUGCAUGGGUGACUCCAGUACAGCACUUUGGCUACCAGCCUGUCGUGGUACCAGGGUACUGACUUUGAAACACACUUGCACAUUCGCUAUACACGCAUUGAUGGACUGGGGAACAAGCCAAGGGCUAACAUUUACACUAUGCACUCCUGGACUUUUGAAUAAGCUAUGUGCCUGUGUACGAACCGUUACGAGGGUGAUCUGGAAAUGAUGUGUACUGUUUAACUGCCUUCAUCAUUACUCAUCUUUUGGUUGGGAUGUCGGGGACGACAUCUGUGUUGAAGGGGAGUAUGUAAGGAGGAUAAAAAUGAUGUACUACUGUUGCAUUGAAUGUCAUUGAAUGGGUUAAUGUAAGUUAAAAUAUACUUAAAAAGGUUCACAAAAAGGAGAAAGUUAAAAUGCACUAAUGGUCUGUAGAUCAGUGAUUUAUCUUUCUGUGGUUAAAGUUUAAGUUUAGGUAUCAGUGCGCGAUUGAUUGCUAAUGCCUCAUUCGGUGACGAUCUGUGAGCGAUUGCUAAUGCCUCGUUUAGGCUGUGAACGGAGCGUGUGGCGUACGGUCGUUCAUUACAACUAUGGACAACACUGAGCUGCAUCGUGUCCGUGUCGUAUUUCAUAUUUCCUUUUUUACAGGUAAGAACGAGUGUUGUAUUAUGGUUAAUCAAUGUAUAUAUGUGUUUAAUACUGUAAGAAACAUGCGGGAGUAGAUGUUAAUGAUGGUAAUCAUCUAGCAGUCUAAACGUGAAGAAGUGUAGCGUGCAUGCUAGCUGUGUAGCACGUGGUGUAGCCCGUGGGGUGGGCUCAAAGCGGGACGUAAUAGAACUCCGCAAGUGCCGGUUUCUCUGUGUGUAAGUAAAAGUGUUUGUUAGUAUCGUAUAAGCUAAAGAGAGAGUGUUUAAUGUGAAGAGGAAAGAGUCUUGUACUUUUUUUCAAGGUUAUUUUCCCAUGUUGUUUUACGAUGUUGCAAACAUAUUUGAUAUUUUGGUAACUCACUUUAAAGGCUGGCUCAGGUCAUUUGAGUAAUAUGGAGCCAUAACUGAUCAAAUUGUAUUUGUCUUAAUUGUAUAAUCUCUUAAAAAGACAUUACCGCAAAGGGAAAAUAACAUGUUUAAGUGCGAUACUGAGUGUAUAAAUGUGUUAUUAUGCUUUUCAUGUACAUUACAACUAUGGACAACACUGA